rnacentral:rRNA from 1 species
CCUACGGGGGGCAGCAGUGAGGAAUAUUGGUCAAUGGGCGCAAGCCUGAACCAGCCAAGUCGCGUGAGGGAUGACGGUCCUAUGGAUUGUAAACCUCUUUUGUCGGGGAGCAAGGCCCGCCACGUGUGGCGGGAAGGAGAGUACCCGAAGAAAAAGCAUCGGCUAAAUCCGUGCCAGCAGCCGCGGUAAUACGGAGGAUGCGAGCGUUAUCCGGAUUUAUUGGGUUUAAAGGGUGCGUAGGCGGAAGGUUAAGUCAGCGGUCAAAUGUCGGUGCUCAACACCGGCCUGCCGUUGAAACUGGUCGUCUUGAGUGAGCGAGAAGUAUGCGGAAUGAGUGGUGUAGCGGUGAAAUGCAUAGAUAUCACGCAGAACUCCGAUUGCGAAGGCAGCAUACCGGCGCUCAACUGACGCUGAGGCACGAAAGCGUGGGGAUCGAACAGGAUUAGAUACCCGUGUAGUC